rnacentral:rRNA from 1 species
UGGGGAAUAUUGCACAAUGGAGGGAACUCUGAUGCAGCGACGCCGCGUGAACGAAGAAGGCUUUCGAGUAGUAAAGUUCUUUUAUAUGGGAAGAUAAUGACGGUACCAUAAGAAAAAGCCCCGGCUAACUACGUGCCAGCAGCCGCGGUAAUACGUAGGGGGCUAGCGUUAUCCGGAAUCACUGGGCGUAAAGGGUUCGCAGGCGGAAAUGCAAGUCAGGUGUAAAAGGCAGUAGCUUAACUACUGUAAGCAUUUGAAACUGCAUAUCUUUAGAAGAGUAGAGGUAAGUGGAAUUUUUAGUGUAGCGGUGAAAUGCGUAGAUAUUAAAAAGAAUACCGGUGGCGAAGGCGACUUACUGGGCUCAUUCUGACGCUGAGGAACGAAAGCGUGGGUAGCAAACAGG